UUUUGCUAGCAUGUUCAAGUCGUACACGUUUGUACCCACUUCGUUUCAGGGAUGUUAAAUGUGCUAUGCUACUUAUUUAUUAUAAGCACAUUUAUUCACUGUACAAUUAAACACCAUACAUGUAUUACAUCAAAUCUUAUCAUUAUUUACAUGAACGGUAUUUGUUUGGAUCGUGAAAUUAUGCGCUGAGCAGUAUACCUAUCUUCAGCAGCUUAAUGAAAUGUGUAAAUUUUGUCAAAACGUAAAAAAAAAAACAAUUUCAAUGAUAGUUUAGGAAACAUAGCAAUUUCCAGAAGAUGACAAAAUUAAAAAAAAAACAUUAAUGCCUAAGCAUUAUUCAAAUAGAAAAUACUGACUCCAGAUACGCAUUUCGUGCCUUCUUAACCACCUUCGGAGUUGCUAAUACCCGAAGCUUCUUGGUGGCAAGACCACUUGCAGUUGUUCUUGCGGGUGAUGAUUCCUCAUGGUCAUUAAAACAAACACCACCCUUAGUAAGGACUGAGUUGGUCCCAUGCAUGUCAUCUCUAUCAUUAUCGUCACCAUCCUGCUUGAACAGAAACAUAUACCAUUAUUUGUAUACUAAGUA
rnacentral:lncRNA from 1 species